GACGAACGCUGGCGGCGUGCCUAAUACAUGCAAGUCGAACGCUUUUUCUUUCACCGGAGCUUGCUCCACCGAAAGAAAAAGAGUGGCGAACGGGUGAGUAACACGUGGGUAACCUGCCCAUCAGAAGGGGAUAACACUUGGAAACAGGUGCUAAUACCGUAUAACACUAUUUUCCGCACGGAAGAAAGUUGAAAGGCGCUUUUCCGUCACUGAUGGAUGGACCCGGGGUGCAUCAGCUAGUUGGUGAGGUAACGGCUCACCAAGGCAACGAUGCAUAGCCGACCUGAGAGGGUGAUCGGCCACACUGGGACUGAGACACGGCCCAGACUCCUACGGGAGGCAGCAGUAGGGAAUCUUCGGCAAUGGACGAAAGUCUGACCGAGCAACGCCGCGUGAGUGAAGAAGGUUUUCGGAUCGUAAAACUCUGUUGUUAGAGAAGAACAAGGAUGAGAGUAAAAUGUUCAUCCCUUGACGGUAUCUAACCAGAAAGCCACGGCUAACUACGUGCCAGCAGCCGCGGUAA
rnacentral:rRNA from 1 species